rnacentral:ncRNA from 1 species
CAUAAAUCGAUGAAGAGAAGUAGUAAGUAAUUGAAGGCAUACAGAGAGGAAGAGGUUGGUGGAAAUCUUCUAUGAGAUAGAUUACUGAAUUCAUCUUGGAGAGCGACCAAUCCUCGCCGUGAAACUGCGUUAAAGUCAAUCAAGAGCAUGUCUAUUGACAUGAAUUAGGAUGGUACCGCGAUAUCAGUCGUUCCUAGC